GGUGCUCGCAGAAUUCCCACCUGCUUUAGUAACCUGUUUCUCAUCUUCAAUUCUGUCUUGCCCACAGCCACAUCUGCCUUGGUGAGAGAGCCGUCAUUUGCACCCAGUCACUGGCUUGGCUAGUCUUUCCUCUGCUGGCCAGAUCUGUAUUUGCAGGCCGAAGAAAAGACUGGCUGACCGCCUCUCCUUGGACCAAGCCUCUAACUUCUGCUCAGCCCUAUUUCCACUUUCCAGCCCAGCAUUCAACCUUGUCUUUGACAUUAAGAAACAUUAUGGCCACACCCUCACCCUGAGGGAACCCUGCUCCAAGGCAGCCCCAAGAGGCCCACAUGACCAGGCCUGUCAACACUACAGGACAGCUCCGUGGAGGUGGACCUCCCUGGUGCUACCUCAGGUGGGACUGGGACCCUAGCCAAGAGAUCUUGUCAGAGCCCUAGGAUGGCCCCUGAGCCUGGGGCAGCCGGUCAAGCUACACUUUGAUUUCUGAUCCACAGCAACUGAUGAUGAAUGGUUGUUACUCUAAGUUUUAGGGUAUGAGACUCCAAAGUAUGCCAUGUAUCAUUGGUGUAUUUCAAGAUGGCUAGACAAACUGCAGAUCUCUGCAGCUUCAGGGAGGGCUUUGAAAGGGUGUGGCAGAGAUUGACACUCACCUGAACUGGUCAACAGUGGAUGCAGGUAGCAUUCCUGUCUGACGUCUACCCCCCUUCUGCCUGCCUGUGAAAGAUCUGGCCCAGACAGAUGAACACAGGGGUCUGUUGCUGGGAGACUGUUGGGGAAACAGGACAACCCUUGUCCCUCUGCGCCUGUCUUCUGCAUCCUGUGCCACUGCCCUUCCUACAUCCCGAGCCUAUCUCUUGGUUUGGCUGUUAUCCUGCCCCAUCUCAUCCCACUUGUGUAUGGCUCUUGUGCUUAGGGAUGAAAUAAAUGUGCAUAAUCUUUUCUCUAUUAAUAUGUUUUUUGUCAGUUUAUUUCAUAGACCAAAAUUAUCCAAGCUUCAGGGUGGUGAAAGAAUAUGCUUAAAAUUCCCCUGCAGGGGUAAUUGGUUACACGUCAAUAGAAACUAAUCAGGCAGGAUGAUGAUAUUUUGCCACUGGUGAGCAGUGAAGAUUCCCAUUAUGAGCACAGAGCUGCAGGCUGUAUAGGUGGUCAUGGGUAGGAGAGUCUCAAGCAAGGAGACUGCUGCCAGUCCUCAUUCCUGACCUAAGGCUUAGCCAUCACUCGGGAUGGAAAAAGAAGCAACAUAGGCACCUUUCGGACCCCAAGGACUGUCUGCUCUAGAGUGAAAAAGAGAGAAACAAGAAAGCAAAUAACUCAAGAUAAUUCAGGUAGUGAUAAUGCCGGGAAGAAAAUACCCCAGUAGAAGUGAGAAAGGGCCUGGGAAGUGAGGGCUUGCUCAGGUUGGAUAGUCAAGAAAGUCCUUGCAGAGGAAGUGAGCAGUAAAUAGACUUGAUGAGAAGACUCUGGACCUGGGGUCAACAGUGGAGUAAUGUAAGGUUGAAGACCAGGCUUCAGGGCAAACAUGGUGUACACCAGGGGCAGGCAGGAGGUCCAUGUGGCAGCACAGGUCAGAGAACAAACACAGAAGACCCAGCUAAGCCCAGUCAGCCGGUCUGCUCAUGGUUAGUUUAUUACCAGCAGAUACAGACUAAAGUUAGCAAAGGGAAGAGAUGUGUAGGCAACACCAAGGCUCCAGGCCCCAUGGAGUCCUGCCGAGCAACCUCACUGUUCCCUCCCACUUCUCUGUGGAUGUGGAGGUGCUAGUGGCAGGUGAAUAUGCAAUAGAGCUGAGAGAGCUGGUCUGGGACAAAGAUGCACACGUGGGACAUCAGUGAGCUGAAAGCAUAGCUUGCCAAAGCCAUGGGUGCAUCCUUCAGUGGUGUGAGGUGAGAGGGAGAGAACCUUGGAGAAAGUGGGAGCUCUGGGGUGGAGGACAGCCAUAGUCUCUGGAAAGGGGCACAGAACAGGCAGGAGGGCCCAAGUGUGCUGGAAGGUCCCACGGAGGCAAACACACUGGCUGGGACAGGAACGACAACACAGGCCUCCCCUCCCCACCACGGGCACAGGACUUUCUCCAAACCAGGUUUACCUUUCACAGAAGCUUUGAAUUUUACUUCCCAGAACUCAAGCAAGUAGGCCUCAUUAUCAUUGCUAACUGGCCCCCAAACUUCCUCCUGUCUGGAAGCUGUACGGCAUGUGUCACAGAAGUAUGGGCCGGGCUGAGGGCCAGUCAGUGUCCCCAGUCCUACCACCACCCUUCACCCAAGAAAGGACCCAGAAGGGAAAGAAGUUGCUCUACAUGCUGCCAGGGCCUCAGGAGCUGCCUGCUCCUAGAGAUGACCCUGAGUGCUCCUUUUAAGGGCCUGAACUCAGCCAUCUGCUCCCCAAGGACUCCAGCUUGACAGCACUUUUCCAGGUGUAACAGCUGGCCUCAAUGCACCAUCUCUCCCUUACAGUGACAUUUGGCACUUCCUCAAGUGUCAAAGACAGAGAUUAGACUCAAGUCAAGGUAUAGUCUUCUCCCAGCCAGAGGCCAAUACUCCUAGAAACACCAAUCUCUUGUCAUUUCUUAGUUAUGAGUUGCCUGCCUAGCCCCUGCCGCUCGUCACUCCCUUGACCCCUCUAAGCACCUUCAAACACAGCACCCUCCAUGUAAGCUGUGAUGGCUGCCUCGCAGACUCUCCCCUCAUUAGACUAAGGAAAGGAAGGGCUUCUUGUGAGGGUCCUCUAAGAUCCCCCCAGAGGCACUGUGGGCCUGGGAACCGAGGGUCCUGGGUGUCUUGGGGCAUUUCUCUCAGAGAAGAGUCCUGGCCUCUCCCCAUGGUGCCCAGGAGGGUGGGGAUCUUGUCUGUCCUGGCUCCAUAGGGCAGGGACACUCAGGUGACAUCCAGGAACACUUGCUUGCCUCCCUCACUGAUGACUACUUCUAGAUGUGGCCUUGGAGGACCUGGGUCAGAGACUUGUCAUGAAAGGACAUACAGUCCUUGGUAGCACAGGAGAGAAUGCCUUCAGAAUACACCUUUUACUUAGAUCAUAAAACAAAUGUUUUCUUUUUAACAUGCAAAUUUGGCACAGAGAAAAUCCUGCCUGGCAGGCCUCACAGAAGUUAGAUUUGAAGGAGACUUUCUGCCUGCUAUGCCUUCUCGCCCCAAGACAACAGCAGGAAGACAGGACAGAAAGGGCAAUCGUGGGGUGCGAACAACAGGGCCAGGCCCAAGUGUGCACCUAGCCCCUUAGGGCCAAGUCAAAGCCUUCUUCCCUGUUCUUGGCAGUGUUCUUGGGAACACCGCAUGCCUUUCCUUUCUUUCUUUUUUUUGGUACCGGGGGAUCAGACUCAGGACCUUGCACUUGCUUUUUCUUUUUCUUUUUUUUUUUUGGUAGCAGGUAUUGGACCUUGUGCUUUCGAGGCAGGCAGCGGAACCACUGAGCUAAAUCCCCCACAUUCUUUCUAAGUUCUUUUUAAUUCAGCUUUUUCUUAUAAACUACUUUCUGCAUGCACUAUGUCUACAUGCAAGAGUUCUGGACCCCUUUUUCCUAGCACACAAUUCCUCAUAUAUUAAAAAUUCCCCACUAGCUGGGUGAAUGUCUGUUGGCCAGGACCUCAGGAAGCUCAGGCAGGAGGAUCACUUGAGCCCACGAGUUCAAGGCUAGUCUGGGCCACACAGUAACAUCCUGUCUCCAAACAAGCAAACAAACUCCCCGUUAAAUCUUUCACGUGUUUCUGUCUCCUGACCCAUACAGUGAGAAAUGGAUCUGGGCUGUUAACUUGGUCUACAGCUGGUUCGCUGCUCACCAGGACCUAGGGAAAGCGGACGACACUAGAGCAGCUACUGGCACGGGGCGCCUCCUGCAGUCAGGUUCCUCUCUGCGGCUAGCUCGCUGAGAGGCCCUCAGAGCCCCACGUGUGGGUCUGGCUGCGCGGUUCCCGGGGCCUCCUCGCCUGGUCUUUCGCCUGGCCUGGCGGUGGCUUUGUCCGCUCCUCAAACUUGCGCCUCCUCUAGACCUUCACAAGCCUGCGAACCUGCGGCUCUGUUCUUGGCCUCUUCUCGUUUCCAGCGUCACCAAUGCACAGUAAGCCGGCAGCCCACUUGAGAUGAUUGUCAGCAGCUCCUCCAGAUCCUGUUUACAACAGAGGAGUGUGAAAGAAUCCAGAACGAGGGAAAAGGAAAAAGGAUAAAUAUAUUCACUGAUAGCCGUUAUGCUUUUGCCACUGCCCACGUACACAGGGAGAUUUAUCAAAAUAGAGGACUGUUGACCUCCGGAGGAAAGGAAAUCAAAAAUAAGACUGAGAUAUUAGCAUUGCUACAAGCCAUCUGGUUGCCUCGAGAGGUCGCCAUCAUCCAUUUCCGGGGGCACCAGAAGGGGCUUAGCCCCGAGAUGAUUGGUAAUAAUGCUGCUGACCAGGCAGCAAAACAAGCCACCCCAAAAUCAGUGGGGAAGCAAAUGUUUCUGCUUCCCAUGCCAGUACUCCCAGAAAAACUUGAAUACACAGAUAAAGAAGUAGCGGAAAUGAACAGGAGAUGCUGGACUCGAGGAAAACAUGGAUGGUGGAUGACUAAGAAUGGAAAGGUGGUGUUCCCAGCUGCUGUAGCAGAUACGUUGCUGCUAGAACUGCAUGAGUCCACCCACCUCGGCGAGAAAAGGAUGAUGGCUGCCCUGCGACCUCAUUUCAUCAGCGAGGGUUUAGCCCAAAAGGCCCAGAACAUGGUGAGACGAUGCCCCACCUGCCUCAAGGUUUGAUUCCAAGACCCUGGAACCUCAUUGGAAGGGACCAGUUCCUGUUGUCCUGUCAACUCCCUUGGCAGUGAAAGUGGCUGGACAUUCUGCCUGGAUACAUCACAACCAUCUGAAAGCAGGACCCCCCCCGUGGAUGUCAAAAAGGACAAAUGGAAGGCUAUCAGCCAACCAGGUGACCAAAAGCUAAGAUUGGAGCGGGUUGGAGAUGUUUUGCCUUCAUGAUAAUAUUCUCUGGGACACUGGCAGUAUUGUCCCAAAGAGGACUAGAUCACACAAAAAAUGUAUGGAUUCAAUUGGCAAACUUGCUUAACUUGUCUAAUUCUGCUUAAAUGUUGAUGUAAAUUUCCAUUAUGUGCUGGGAAGCUGUCUUAUUCUGGUAUGCACCUCUUUAGAAUUAAUACGACCCUAUACCCUGUUUAAAGACCUCCCAGGAUAAAGAAAUCUCACUUACAGAGAUAGUAAUAAUUGGGGACCUCUCUCAUGUCAUAAACCUAAAAAUGCUGUCAAAUUAUAUACACCCAAGGUAAUUAUGUCAAAUAAUACCGAAUGUGCUAUAUAUGAAAAUUGUACAACCAAGUGUCUAAAAAUAAAACGGUCAGAAGGGAUGCCCUGCCAUGUUAAACAGAAAAUUGUAUAUGGCAUUUGCCAUGUCUCCCUACCAACAGGAUGGUUUUAUACCUGUGAGGGUAUAACUUUCAAUUAUAUUCCAGCCAAUUUAACCAAGACCCAUUGCUGCUUGAGUCGUUUGGCUGUAGUUUUACCAGAUAGAACUGAUUUGAUUAUGCCAGACAGAACUAAACGUUGGUCACCUUACACUGCACCAGGAUGUGAUGAUGAUGUAGGUCUGUUGACGGAUGCUGAAGUAAUAACUAUGAUAGCAUCUUUUGUUGCAUUGCCUUCCAUAGGAGUCCAUGCUGAAAAGGCAGUAUGGAAACUAGCAUGCAAGGUGGUCAAAGGAUUAAAUGCUACCUCAACAGCCUUAACAUUAAUUAACCAAGAGUUACAGGAACAGAGACAGGCAAUCUUAGACAACAGAGCAGCAAUAGACUAUUUGUUGCUCUUCCACCACCAAGGUUGUGAAAGAAUAAAAAAUAUGUGUUGUUUCAAUCUUACCGAUAAUGGUCCAAAAAUUAAAGAAAAGGUAAAACAAUUAGAAGAUCUGGCUCAGAGUACAUGAUGAAGAUGGCAGGGACUUGUUCAAGUGGCUAACUAAAUGGUUGCCCAACCUACAGUGGUUAAGACAACUUUUCCUUGUCAUUAUAGUUGUGUAUAUAUGCUUAUUACUGUCAUGCUGUUGUAUACAAUGGAUGCCUACAUUUAUAUGUAAGAUUACUUAGAUUGUAAAAUCAGUGGGGAAUGUGGGACUGCAUAACUUAGUAAUCAAUUGUUCCCCUAGCCUCAAUUGUGAUUGUGAGUUAAUGGUUAAAAUGUGCUUGUUAGUUCUGGGAAGCUAGAUAAAAUCUGUAACAAACAUAGAGUUCCUAAGUGAAUUACCCGACUCCUUGUUUGUCCAAAACCGAUGUUCUGGACACAGCUAUCCAUAAGACAAUCUGCAAACAUCUUUUGACCAUCAAUAUUUUUUUCUCUUGCUAAUUUCCCCUGCAACCCCCUAUAAAAACAGCCUUGGGCUCUGAGCCAGUUGCCUCUCCAAGCUACUUUGCUUUGGGAGUGACCUCUGGCCAGACUAAUAAAGGUCUGUUUUACUUUCCAAA